rnacentral:misc_RNA from 1 species
UCCGAGUUGACCCCGGCAGUCUCCUAUGAGUCCCCACCAUCACGUGCUGGCAACAUAGAACGAGGGUUGCGCUCGUUGCGGGACUUAACCCAACAUCUCACGACACGAGCUGACGACAACCAUGCAGCACCUCUAUAGGCUCUCGACUUUACGAGUCAUCGCUACUUUCAUAGCUCUUACUUCCUACAGUUCAAGCCCAGGUAAGGUUCUUCGCGUUGCGUCGAAUUAAACCACAUGCUCCACCGCUUGUGCGGGCCCCCGUCAAUUCCUUUGAGUUUCAGCCUUGCGGCCGUACUCCCCAGGCGGGGCACUUAACGCGUUAGCUGCGGCACCGAAGGGGUCGAUCCCCCCGGCACCUAGUGCCCAUCGUUUACGGCGUGGACUAC